rnacentral:lncRNA from 1 species
GGGGCUGGAAGGGAAAUUUUCCCUUCUCCUCUAAAACGACAUCGUUCCAGUAGGGCUAAAUUGAAAUUGAAAAUAAAUUAAAGGGCAAAUUUAAAAGAUAAAAAAAUAAUUGAAAAUAUAUUAAAAGGCGGAGGGGCUUAAAGCGCAAUUUGCCCCUCCGCAUAAGAACACGCGGAUCCUGAAUCCGGGUCGGGUCGACGCGCGGAUCUUGCCCCCUUAAACGGCGUUGUUUCAAUUUUAUUAUAAAAGUAACAUUUUAAAACAAAAAAAUCACUUUCUGCCAUAUUUAUAAAAAAACAAAACUUAUGAACCCUAGCCUCCUCUGCUAGGGUUCCAACAGUCAACCGCCGCCGCCGUUACAAUGGAUGCAAAGCCCCUUCAACCCCGAUCUGAUCGGAGCAAAUGGGGUUUCUCGUCUCCUUCCCACAAGUAAGUAUUCCUUUUCUCCCUUUUCGUGUAUUUAAAAAAAUGAAAAAAAGAUUCGGGUAAAAUAAAUAGAAAAGAAACUGAAGUUCGAAAAAAAACUAUCAACCUUUUGAUUUUUUGAUUGAUCUUUGCUCUUUGGUACUUUAUUUGCUAUGAAAAUAAUACCUUUUUUUGUAUUGAUUUUUCGAUCCCCUUAUUACAGUGUAUUCAAAGGCUUUUUAUAGCCAUGAUAAUAAUAAAUCAAAGAAAGAAAGAAAUCUGCUGAUAUUUUUGAUUCGCAAAUCCAUGAUUUCUUUCCAUAUGCUGUUUGUUUCUUUCUUGAUGCUUGUUUCCUUGCAGGUGAAGAUCAUGGAGAUCCAGAGGACUCGUCUUGCGGCGCUGUUGAAGAUUAGAAACCCAAGGGUUUCAUUAUCUGUCUUGGGCCUCUGUAUUCGGGCCUUUAUUUGUUUUGGUUUGGGCCUUGUGGCCCAUUUGUAAUUCGGGAUUUUAAACCCGGGCAAAAUUGGGUAAUUACAAUUUUAUUACUCUUACAUUAAAUUAUUUCUUUUUUUACAUUUUAAUUAUAUGCUUUUUAAUAAGGAUAGUAGUAAAGGAAGAUUGGAUCCUGCCGUCUCUUCAUUUUCAUCCUUCAACCAACAUUUUGUUUUAUUUGUUUUUGCCACAUUAUUACUGCGAUUUAACAAAGAGCCCCAGAGAGAGGGUAAAUUAGAAAGAAAAGAAAAAGUUUAACUAGAGAUUUAGGCUAAUUUCCCCCCAGAUUGAGGAGAAUAAAUCGACUUUGGAGAAAAAUAGAAAGUAUGUGUUGACACCAUUUUUUGGAUGAAAAACGGGGUCGACUUGGGUUUUGAAAACGAAAACGAAAACGGGAGUCGCCACCAAUCCUUUUUAAUGAGGUGUGAUUGGAUCACCUGGAAAAGUGGUUGUUUUUAAUAAACGAUUUUGAUUUUAUUAAAACAACGAUUUUGGUCCACGAAAUCUAGAAAAAUGGGUUCGGGAGUCAGUUACGUACGAGGAAGGAUUAGCACCAUCGUAACGCCCAGAAAUUGGUACCUAGUUGAUUAGUCAAUGUCUUAAUGUCGAAAAUUGAAAAUUUUAAAGAAAUUUAAAAUACGAUCCUUUGUCUUAAAACGUUGAAAAUUUUCAAGAAAAGGAGGGUAUUUCACGUUAUUCGAGAAAGAGAAUCAUAUCCAGUAAGCGAGGACAUAAUGUCUCGAAUUCCCGAUACGCGAAUGAAAAGUGCUUAUUUAGAAGAUAUUUAAUUAUCUUGGAUUAAAAAAGGGAUCACGACCAGUAAGUUAGGACACGAUCCUUUUUUAAUUCCCGAUAUUAAAAAAAAUUCGUGUAAUAAAGUUUAAAAGAAUAUUCAAUUGUUUAAAUCAAAUGAAGAAAUCGCAACCCAAUACGUUAGGGCACAAUUUAUCAAAAUAUUAAACACUGAAUAUUACAUUUAUUUCGAAAAAUUCUCGUUUCGAGAAAACAACAUGUCACAUCCAAUGCGUUAGGACACAACGUAUUGAAUUCUUGAUAACGAGCUUGUUAUCAUUUUUAAAGAGUAAUCUCGAUUAUUUAAGUUCAACGAAGAAAGUCGGAACCCAAUACGUUAGGGCUCGAUUCUCUCGAAGAUCCAAAAUACCGAAUAUUACUUAUAUUUUUUAAAAUUUCUUUUUUGAAAUCUAAAUAGAAAUGGGCGUAAUGGAAUGAUGAUGGUGUAAGCAAAAUAAUCUCGAGGAAAACAAAAUAUAAGUAAAUAAGAAAUCAUAUAUAUAUAAAUAAAAUUAAUCACGUAUGUACAAUAAUAAACCAAUAUAAAGCAUAACAAAUAAUAAUAAUGGACAUGUAAAUAAA